AUUCUACCCAUGCGGGGAAGGAUGAGAAGCUUCGACUAAGGUUCGAUUCGAGCGAAAGCGAGAAAGCGUUGCCGCAGGCAACGACCCGAAGGGCGAAGCGCGCAACGCUGAGUCAUCCUUCCCCCACCAUAA
rnacentral:sRNA from 1 species